ACCUCCUUUCUAAGGAGCACCAUUUCCCAGCCGAAUGAGCUUGGGAACAUAAAGUGAGUUUCUGUAGUGGUUACUCGCUUGGUGAAUAUGUUUUAUAAAUCCUGUCCACCCCGUGGGUAGGUAGUCGGCAAAACGUCGAACUGUCAAUAGAAUUGAAACGCUGGCACACUGUUGGGUCCUGAGGCAACACAUUGUGUUGUCACCCUGCUUGGUGGUGGGGUGUGGUCUUUGACUUAUGGAUAGUGGUUGCGAGCAUC
rnacentral:rRNA from 1 species